AACAAAACAUAACAAAAACCAAAAACGUAGAAAGCACCUCUAGAAGGAGACUCCAGCACCCAGAACCCAGUGACACCUCAUCUACCAUCUGUCCCGCCAAAGGGUCGUGCAGGGCCCAUCAGUGCCCAGGUCCCCACCCCACCCUUCUUGCUGUGACCUCCCCGCUGCACUCCCACCUCCUCUCUCCACCACCACCUUCCUCCUGGCUGUAAUUGGUCUCGUCUCCUUCUGCACACAACACAGAGGUGGCAUGGGGGUGGCAGGAAGGCCCUGGUGAGCACUGGCCCUGCAUCUGGACCAUCACUGCCACUGGCCACUCCCUCACUGUCACCAUCCUGGUCCUCCUGUGUGGCCACGCCAUUGUGACAGUCGGGGGAGAGGGUGUGCCGUGGGCUGGCGAAGCAUGGCUGGUCCUGGUGUGGGUGCAGGGAUUCUCUGGAGUCAGCUUCGCAGUGUUCCUAGGGCCUGAUGGGAUGGUGGCAUCCAUGUGGACACUGAGCCUGCCGCCUCUGAAGGAACAGUGCCCAUGGCCACACAAAUGGCCCUGGGACCAUGCCCAGGGUCUGCCUUGGCCACCCUGCCCCUCCCUGCUGCUCAUCUCCCAAACUUGGGCCAGGCGACGCUGGCUCCAGCCCAGGGCCAUGGUUCGGAGCUCUUGGGGAACGGUCAAGCCCACAGCCACAGUCGGGGGAUUGUGUUCAGGGUGUGAUGCAGCCGUACCGUGUGAAGCUUGUUAAUCUAUGUGAAGCUUUUGUUCUCCUUUCCUCCCAGGCCAGGAGCUGAGCACCCUCCCUGUCCCACAACCCCAAUCCAAGUUGGGAACGGCAGGACUGGUCUUGCAGGGGUCACCACGAAGCCACCACCAGGCUGGUCUCCCGGUGUUUCUUGGGGGACAGCAGCUCUCCUAGACAAGCGCAGGGUGCUGGGGACACAAGGCAGCCGAGGGACUUGGAUUCAUGUCAGUGACUAUUCGGGGAAAGAAGGGAAGGUUUAGAGGCCAGAGCAGGAGCCCGAGGCUCUGCAACCCUGAGGCCUGCAGUGUUCCCAUCCUCAGCUCAGCAGGCAUGCUGGGGGUUGGGGGCGUGGGUGGCCUGUGGAGGUGAACUCAGAAUCUUUGAGGGCCAAAGCCUGUGUUCACCCCACCACACCCUAGUCUUCUUGCAUUCCCUCUUUUUUAGGUGUUUUUGUUUUCUUUUUUUUUUCAGUACUGGAGAUUGAACCUAGGGCCUUUGCCUGAGCUAAAUCCCCAGGGGUUUUUUCGUUUCCUUUUUGGUACCCGGAAUCAGGCACCUUGCGCUUGCUUGGCAGGCACGGUGCCACUGAGCUAAUCUCCAGCCCUUUUUAUUUUUUACUUUGAGACAGGAUCUUGCUACUUUGUCCAGUUAGGGUGGGUUUGAACUUCCAGUCCUCCCUCAGCCUCCCAAAUGCUGGGAUUACAACAUGAACCACCAUGCCUGGCUCUAGCCUUCUCUUUUAGGGGGCUUACACUUACUCAGUACACCAAAAUAAUGUGAUGGCAGAAACCACAAUAGAUUUUUUCUUUCUUUUUUUUCUUAAUUGGAAACAAGAUCUAGCCUUGGCUAGCCUCAAACUCCUCCUGCUUCAGCCUCCCAAUUGCUAAGCCCAGCAACUGUGCAUUUCCCCCCAUACCCAGAAGACACUUUCUCCAAGGUGAGUUGGGUUGUCCCUUCUUUAGGGAGGGCCCUCUAGGGAGUAGCAUUGAUAGAGAAAAGAACAAACCCAUCUGUCACCUACAUGUCACAAAUGUGCAACAUAGGACAGAGAAGAGCCCUUCCUGGUGGUUCCCUCUUUGUGUGCAUUUUUUUAUCAUCUACCGGACUUGACAAGUGUGGCAUCUGCAUUACCUUUAGUAUUUGGGGUAGCAUUUUAUCCCCACACCCAGAACUAAAGUGCCCAGCUUGAGGGUGAUUCUGGCAGGCACAAGGAGCCCUGUGGUCCCACUGGUCCCACAAAGAGGGCUGAUGUCAUAAACACAGAGCACAGGGGAGCCCCUGUGUUCCAGCCAGCAGAGGCCAUGGGCUGCAGGAACAGGAAGGACAGUGGGUUCUGCCGAGGUGGGAGGCUGACUUUGAAGAGCCCACUGGCUUUAUGGGAUCCACAUAGCCCUGGCUGGAGCUUGAGGCCACAUGUGACCUUGCAUGAGUGGCCAGGAGCUCACUUCCAGAUGGCGUGUCCUCCCCAGGGCUCCAGGGUGAAGCUUUUCCUGGCACCUCCUGUACCACGAACUUAGCCCUAAAGUCCUCUGCAGAUGCCUUUGUAACCUGCUCCCUCCUUCUGUCGGAGGGGACAGGACAGGCGCAGUGGGGACAGGGGUGGUCUAAGAGCAAAGAGGAAGCUCCCGCUUGCUGCUUUCCGGAAGAGCCCCAGAGGGAUGAAGCAGAGGCUUUUCUGAGGCCUGUGGCCUGUGCUUCAGAAGAGUGCAGGACGUGAGAAUUGGAGACUCGAGUUCCAGCCUUCAGGGCUUUUCUGUUUCCUUGGGGACUUUUCUCAAGCCCAAUCUUUAGCUCAUCUAGGUCCUGGUCUUUACUUUGCUCCGUGUAUUUCAUGAGUUUAUUCGGGCCCUAACCCACUGAUCUUCCCUUUUGGCUGCUGGUCUCACUAUGGGGGAGGUGGAUGAGGAGCCCUCAGGAUCACAGACUUAAGACCGUGAGUAAAUCCACAGAAAAAGCAAAAAGAAAAAUUCUUUUCAACAUAAAAUGAUUAAUUUUUUUUGUUUUUUUGAGACAGGGUCUCAUUAUGUCGUCUAGGCUGGCCUCAAACUCAUGGCGAGCCUCCUGCCUCAGCCUCCUGAGUGCUAGAAUAUAGACGUGCACCACCACCACGCCUGGCUUGGAAAAAACCUGCUUCCCGGUGCCUCAGAAUGUGCCUGUGUUGGAGUUAAAGAGAUUGUUCACCACCAUGGCAUUCCUUAACCACAAUGUACGAGGUCUUUUCCUGUUGCUAGUAACACAAUACCAGAAUAGGCUUUCACAUAAGGACAAGCGAGGAGCCCAACUGGAAGAAGAUGGAAGACAGAAAGACUGCACAGGCAGCUCACCCUGGAGAGCUGGGCUCUCUCUUCCCCUACACUUCGCAUCAUAAAGUGAAAUAAAGACUUAGUUGCCUGGCCUGGUAGGGCAGGCCUGUACUCCCAGCAUUCAGCCUGAAGCAGGAGGAGCCUGGUCUCCUUCUGUACCCCAGGAUGGCCUUGAACUCGAGGCUAUCCUCCUGCCUCAGCAUCCAGAAUGCAGAGAUUGCAGAUGCGUGCCACCACACCCCGCGGCCAGAGAAGUGGUCUCUAGCCUGAGGCGAUCAGCAGCCCCUACAGAGAACAAGAGCCACCCAGAGUGGGGGCAUCAGAGCCCCGAGACUUGGCUAGAACCUUCCCUGGACAGAAUCUUCGUUCUGUGUGGGGAGGGAGGUUGAGACAACAGGCACUAAGGUAGGCACACGGAGGAGCACCCGGGCCCUGCUAUUCAGGAACAAAAGGACAUGCAGCACAAACUUGGGCCCUCAGUGCCCUUAGUAUUGUACAUAGGUAAGUUAAUUAGUUAUCUUGUAGGCAGUUAGACAGGAGCCACCCUCACGGAGCCAACACAGCGAGGAGCCAACAUGGAGGACAACUGAGGCACAUUAACUGGUUAGCAUUAUAAAGAGAAGAGAAGUGGGCCGGGGAUUUAGCUCAGUGGUUCUGCCUCCUGCCCCGCAAGUGCAAGGAUCAGACUUUGAUCCCCGGUACCAAAAAAAAAAAAAAAAAAAAAAAAAA